GUGUGUGCGUGUCCCUGUAACACAGGUGUGUGUGUGCGUGUCCCUGUAACGCAGGUGUGUGUGUCCCUGUAACUCAAGUGCGUGUCCCUGUGUGCGUGUCCCCGUAACACAGGUGCGUGUCCCUGUAACGCAGGUGUGUGUGUGUGUG